UCUGGACUGCUAUUAAGAUGUAAUUUUUUAUUUGCUGAAAUGUGCAUGACCAGAAGUUAAAUGAAAAAUAAAAUAAAAUUACAAGUCCUGAUCCAAGCAUUUGACCACACUGGUCAGGAAUAAAGAUACAAUGACUAAAAAGUAUAAAAUUUCACUUCUGUUUCUUCUCAGGGUCAUGGUAUUUAAAUUAAUAAUUUCCAAAAGAAAAAUGGCACUAAUCAAAAUUUCAAUUAUGCUUUUCCGUUGGCUACUUUGGCAGAAGCUCCAGAUGGGUUAAGCUCAUCCCAGGCCUCAAUCCAAGUGACCAUGGCAUCUGCAAGCUUAUCGAAGUAAGGAUCAACCUUGCUAAGCUUUUCCUUAACCUGCUUGGACAGUUCAAUGUAGCACUUUUGAACAGUAGUGCAAUCUUUGGGAAGUGUGGCAGCUUGGAAGAAUGGAAUGAUCUCUUCCUGCCAAAAGAUGCCCUUGUACUCCUUCCUUAGGUUAACAAAUGGGUUGCUUGCCUUGCUGUGAUAGAUGUAGGGCAGACCAGUCUUGAUUCCUAGUCCCAAAUGGUCACAGAUAACCUUUGUGCACCAGCCAGCCCACAU
rnacentral:misc_RNA from 1 species